CAGGUAACUCAGGAAGCAGGAUGCUAAUUAUUCACAGAAAGUCAGGUAUACAGUUACCGUGCUAUAGUUGAAAGUCAGGAGGUCAAAACUUGCACAGCAACCCGGCCAACGUGAUAGAACAGCUUUGCUCCUUACAGAGGAGUUUAUCGCUUUUAGAAAUGGAAGAGAAUGAAUCAAGUUUGCCGAAUGCUUCCCAACAAGGUCUAUCAUUGAGAAAGCUCCUGUGGAUAUUGACUUUGGCCAUUAUUACGUUUUCCUGUAUCAGAAACGUUAAAAAGAUGGCCUAUCAAAAAGUGAAUGCGGACCAGAGAACCCAGGGGCAAUACCUUGAGAGUGAUGACCUCCAGGGAACAGCACUGGAACUGGAAUGGGACAUGGAAAAAGAGCUGGAGGAGCCUGGCUUUGACCAUUUCCGACUGGAUGGUGCAGUCCAGCAUCAUCUGGGAAACUCGCAGAGCCCUGACCUCGAUCUCGAGCCCAUCCAGCCAUCAGCUUCUCCUAAGGGAAGAUUCCAGCGACUUCAGGAAGACCCUGAGUACAUCUCACACUAUACAAGACAGCCACCAAAGAGCCACCGCUGCAGUUUUUUUCGGAUACUGAAAGUAUUUUGCGCUGCUUUGAUUUUAUUUAUUUUUGGAAUUGUGGUAGGAUAUUAUGCAGGCAAGAAAUGCCCUUCUCCCCCAGCAUCUCCAGAACCAAAUCAUCCUCAUAACGACCAUGAAAUUCUCAAGGAAAUCAAAGCUGAAAAUAUUCAGCAGAUUUACAGAGAUUUGUUACAAUCCCCUAGAGAAGAUGAUGUAGACAUUGCAAUGAAAAUUCUGCUUCAGUGGACUUCUCAUGGCCUUGAAGAUGUCCGGCUGGUAAAUUAUUCUGUUUUGCUUGACCUACCGGGCUCUUCUUCAAACACAAUAACUCUGAAAAACAGUGGUGAAUGCUUUUAUCCUGAUGGACAGCAGUGCAGCAGAGUGACCAAAACACUUCAUAGCCAAGACCUCCUGUACUCAUUUGCAGCUUACUCUGCCAAAGGAACUCUUGAGGCGGAACUUGUUGAUAUACAGUAUGGGACCAUAGAAGACUUGAUCCGGAUUCGAGCCACUACAAACGUGACCCAAAAAAUUGCACUUCUGAAGCUAGGACAAUCACCUUUACUUUAUAAGCUUUCUUUGUUAGAAGAUGCAGGGUUUGGUGGUGUUCUUCUUUAUGUUGAUCCUUGUGAUUUACCAAAGACUACAGAUCUCACUGAUAAAGCUUUUAUGGUUUCCUUGAACAGCGGAGGAGAUCCAUCGACACCCGGCUAUGCCAGUAUUGAUGGAAGCUACAGACAACAUCGACUGAACCUCACCACGUUGUUAGUGCAACCAAUUUCUGCAGUACUUGCCAAAAAACUCAUUUCUAUGCCUGAGAAUAGAGUCCAAAAAGACAAGUGCGUCCCCCUGCAACUGCUGAGUACAGACAAAAAAAUAAUCAGUCUCAAUAUUCAGUCAGUCACAACAUACAAGACGAUUUCUAAUGUUAUUGGAUAUUUGAAAGGAUCUGUGUUUCCUGACAGAUACGUCAUCAUUGGUAGUCAUCACAGCAGUUUGAAUACUUACGGUGGACAAGAAUGGGCCAGUAGCACUGCUAUCAUUACAGCAUUUAUACGGGCCUUGAUGUUAAAAGUUAAGAGAGGCUGGAGAACUGACCGGACCAUUGUGUUCUGCUCCUGGGGAGGAUCAUCAUUUGGGAACAUUGGUUCAUAUGAGUGGGCAGAGGAUCUCAAGAGGGUUCUUCAAAGAAAUGUUGUGGCUUAUGUCAGCCUCCAUAAUCCAGUCAGAGGCAAUUCAACUUUACAUCCUAUUGCAUCCCCUUCUCUUCGGCAACUGGCAGCAGAGAGUCAGAGCUUCAACUGUGUGGAAAAGAUGAAAUGUCCAGCAUCUAAUGUGAGUUCUGUGCAGAUACAGGGAGAUUCCGAUUAUUUCAUCAACCAUCUUGGAGUGCCUGCAAUGCAGUUUUCUUAUGAGGAUAUCAACGCAUCAGAGAAUUCUAGCUUUCUCUCUGAAGCUCUUUUUCCAAUGCAUGUGACGAGAACUGAAGAGCUGGAUCCCUCUUUCAAACUGCAUGAGAACAUUGCAAAGCUAUCAGGACAUGCGACUUUGCAAAUUGCCAAUGAACCAGUUUUGCCAUUUAACGCCCUCGACAUCGCUCUGGAAGUUCAGAACAGUCUGAGAGUGUUCCUAGGUGAAGAAGUAGAUGCUUCUCAAUUGCUUGCAGUGGCAUCACGUCUGAGAGACACCGCAGAGUUGUUCCAGUCAGAUGAGAUGCGCCCAGCUAAUGACCCCAGGGAGAGAGCUCCUAUCAGAGUCAGGAUGCUCAAUGAUGUGCUGCAAAGCCUGGAGAAAAGCUUCCUGGUUCAGCACGCUCCUCCAGGACUUUACAGAAAUAUUCUUUACAGACUAGAUGAAAGGACAAGCCAGUUUUCAGUACUGCUAGAGGCACUGGAGCACUGCAAACUACAUCAGUCAAAUGAGACCAUUCAAGCAGCCUUGUCAGAGGUGCUGAACAGCAUCAGUUCAGCUCAGGUUUACUUCAAAGCAGGACUUGAUGUUUUUGAGACUACCUUAGCUGGAAAGAAAUGAGAGAAUUCUCUGCAUUCCAAGACAUUUGUUUACAAGUCACUAAACAAAAGUUCGGCUUGGACCAGAAUUUCUCUGAGGAUAAAACCUUUCUCAACUUCUCUUUCAGUUGGCGCUUAAAUGCUGGAUCAGUACUGCCCAGCAUAUAGGACCUGGAUUGUUGUCAGAAAAAAGAUAUAUAUUAAUUCUCUGCCACAGAACCAGGAAUUCGUCUUUGAAGACAAGCAGGUGAAGCAGAGGCUGUAAUCACACCAUUACAUUGUUAGCUUGAAGUAAUCUCUGAAUGAAAGGAUGAGGAGGUUCAGUGUCCUAAACCUCUAAGGGGAUAACAUACACUUAAGAACUGCAAGUCUUAAUAAUACAAACGCUUAAAAUCAUUAAACCCUGUUGGGUUUAGAGUUUUACAAUUCCAAAUGAUUCUGGGAAGAGCUUAAAAAAUAAUUUUAUAUAGAUUCUUAGAAUUAAAGUAUAAUUUAUUUGUUGGAAACGUUAAAUGUAUUGUUAUCCGAUUUCCCAUGGAAAUAUUACAAAAACAUUUCAAGUAUCUGUGUGAAUGUAAAGAAAAGCCUUCAGGAAAAUUUAGAAGUGCACAAUUUGAUGAAAGGGUGAAAGCUUAUGAAAUAGCAAAAUACAUUUUUGGUGUAUGUUCACAUAGUGAAAAAUGAGAGUUGUUUACAGAUCUGUGUUUCUGUUUUCCCAAAGACACUGGCAAAUGGGCCUCUGUUAGCAGUGGCCUAGGGUAGGCUACAUACACUUGUGCUGUUUCUACAUUUCUUUGCAAGUUAUUGAAACAUGGAGAAAAGCAUACCUGGUCUGACCAGAGGUGGGACUAUGCAGUUGUACAGUCACAAUUGAAGUGAAAAUAUGUUCAGCAACAGUCAGUAUGACUGCAUGAACUUAGGUAUUAUUUCCUACUUUUAUUUGGCAUCUGAUAAGCGAGAGUGUAUGAUUAUUCUUUUGCUAAUGCAGGUACCAAAUGACAGCAAAGAGAGUUUGACUUCUGAAGAGUAACAUUUAUCAUGAUGCUCCAAGGUUUGUCUGUCCCUUUGUUUAUAUAUUUUUAAUUACAGCAAUAUUUAAGCUGUUGGAAUAGCUACAUCUGACUUGUAUGUUUAUUUUGUGGUAGUGUUUUGGGAUAUAUUACAUGCACUAAAAUUGAAUUUUGUUUUCUAAUAGAGGCAACUCUUCUAACAGUAUGUUUAGUAACAUUUUCUUCAGAAUGCUGGCUCAUUGUGGAGUCAUCUAUUGUCUUAAAUGAUGAGAGUCAGGUGCCAUUAAGAGACCAAAAAUGGAGAUUAUCACUUCCUUUAAUUCUGCCAGGUGAAUUUAAUAACUGCUUCCUGUAUAGUCCAGCAAGACUUCCUCUAGUGUAGCCUGAAGCGUACUCACGCAAAGUCAGAGAAAUCUAUUGGGAAGAGUAUCUCUCGUGUAUGAUUUCUCAACCAUGUAAUUCUUCACUAAAACAUUUAUUUUGUUUUCUCACUAAUGUCCUUCUAUAACAACUUUAAAAAUAGCAGGCAUCAGUGUAUUCCACCACAAGAGGCAAUGCUACUAUAAAUACCUGUCAACAAGAAUCAUAAAUUCUUGUUAUAGAGAUGAAUCAGAUGAACUGCUCAAGGACUUAAAUGCAUUGAUUUCAAUGCUGUCUCACACUUCUAGAUCUCAAGGCUUUUAUUUCAAAUGUUCUGAUCGUAUGUAAGUGAGUGCUCAGCGAUAAUAUUUGCACCAAUAUAGUUUUGAAAAAGGCAUUUUUGAGCCAUAUCCUUCCAUUGAUUUUUAAAUCCUACUUUUUGACUUCAAAGAAUUUAUUGCAAGUUAAGGUCCCAAAUACCUGGAGUAUUUCUAGCAGAAUUUUCCCGCUGUUGAAUAUCAGCUAAGAGAAGAUGUUAGUAAAUCAUAGUAGCUUACCCAGACUGAAUUCACUCCUGUAUUGUUUUGAAAUGAAUUGAGUGCCUUUAAAGGCUGCAGGAUGUUUGCAAAUUGCCUGAAUGAUGGUAAAAAUCUGUUACCUUUCCAGAGGCAUCAACUGCCAGAGACAGUAUAACAAAUGCAUUGAUUGCUAAGUAAUCUAGAGUCAUACUCUCAGAGACCAGAAAAUCCUUGCAACUUGCAACAUUUGUAUGUUAAGAUAGUUGAUAAUAAAAGUCUAAUAAGAUUUUAUUAGUGCAUAUUUUAGAGAGUACAUAAAGAAGCAAAAGUAUAAUCAACUCGGAUGAAUAAUAAGUACAUGGGAGCUGAAUUUUGAGUACUAACCUUAAAAAAGGCAGUGAAUUGCUUUUAUCAUCCAAGAAAAACAAGGCUAUUUUGAUAUACGGUGUCUGCGCAAAUAUGCAAACACACAAAUAUGCAAAUGCCUUAUAUCUUGAAAACACUGUAGAAAUACUAAUUUACUUGCAGUGAUGUGAUACAUCUGCAUAAAUAUAGAUGUAAAUAAUAACUACAUGCAAAAAUUAGCUUGCACUGCUUCACUUACCAUUUAGAAGGUAUUUCAGUCUGGAGGUGUAAAAGGGGGCUCUUAGCCGAGCUCAGUUCCUGAAGCAGUAGUUAGGGAACAGCUGAAUCUCCCCGAUAUCACAAAAGGGACCUCUACAGGAAAGUCUACACUCUUCCUCAAGCAGAGUCACCUAGGGCUGCCUUUUCAGGAAGGGGCUAUGUCCACUAGUCUUGGGAAUAUCUCCAAGUAUGGAGAUUCCACAGCCUUUCUGGACAAGGAGUUCCAGUGCAUGGUUACCCUCAUAGUAAAAAAAAAAAAAAAAAAAAAAUGUUUUUUUCUUCCAUAGACAUAGUUUCUCCAAAUCUUUCCCUAUAUUUCUUAGUUCUUAAAUUAUUAAUAUGUUAAUUAAACAUGCAUUCAAAGGAUAACCAUCAUUUCAUUCCAUGAAAACUCUUGGCAAAGGAAAGUAUAUAAGGAAGUUUGUACUUCAAGACAUAAGGUUUAUUUUUAAGUUGUGGAGACUAGUUUCUUUAUUCUCUGAGGUCUUUACAGUGCCUGGUUCCCAGUCACAGAAUUUCUGUAUACAUUAAGAGACUAACUGAGAACAAAAGAUGCAUUAGAAAAUGCAAGGAGAAAAUGCAGAGAGCACAUGGGCAGCUAUAUGCUAUGAAUGUAUCUAUUUUAACCAAACUUCAGGAGCUCGGUGCAAUUCUGUAGUUUGUGUUAUGCAGAAUGACAGGCAAGGUAAUUAUAUGGGUCAUUCUGGCUUUAAAAGCUAUUAAAUGCAGCAAAUGCAGUUAAAUCUGGGCCUGCAUUUUCAAGGGAGCAGUUAAGAUGUUCCUCAAAAGCCUUAUGUGGUAAGCUGUUAUCUGUGUUACCCAGAAAACGGAUACCUCUGACAAAUGUUAUGAACGCUAUCUCAGGAAACAAGUAUGGAGUGCAAGAUGUUCAUUCCCUUUGGCUUUCCAGCAUUUUAUUGGUAUUCUGGCAGUUUGAGAAAGGUGAGUGAUAGGAAACAAAUCUCAUUUUAAGACGCGGUGACCCAAAUUUUGAGUGCAGUUAGCCUUAUACAGCACUGAAAAUGUUUAAAAUGUAGGAAGGUGUCUUCUGUUGGAGCUCUGAGUAUAUAAAACUUGGGAUAGAGACUCCAGUAAUGGCACAUAAAGGUCUCAGAAAUAGAGAAUAAAUACUUAGUUACUGUCUAUUAAAGGUUGUAUCUAUGGUGAAAAUGACUUGCCUCUCACUACAGAUAUAGGACUGCAUGUCAGUCAUUUCACUUUUUCUAUUGUGUCAGAUCCCUGGUUUUUUUUCUUUUUUUGCUGUCUUUCCUGUAUCAAUGAGGUAUUUGUCCCAGUGUCCUUCGUCUCACCACAUCUAGAACUGGCUCCUAGUGUUUGAAUCAGUUCAGCUUUUUUGCCCAUUGUGCUUGAGUACAGUGGAAAGCUACAAACAAUGGUAGAAGAUUUGCUCACCUAGUUUAGGAAGUUUUGAUUCUAAUUCCUACUACUGAAAGUGCUGGAAAGCCAAAAGUGAAGGAAAAAUCCUGGUCAAAUCCAAAUGGAUAAAUGUAAGGAGAUAUCAUCCGUUAAAGUCAAAGUAGUGUCUAUUGACUGUGUACAAACAGCAAUAUUUCAGUUGUAACUUUUUGAAUGGAAGUAGACCAAAAAAAAUUUUCUUAGCUUCUAGUCCAUUUCUGCAGGAAAUUUCCUCAAAAACACCAAUGCAGGCAGGAAAUAAUCUUGAAAGUUUUGAUAUAAACUUUUUAAAGCUGAAUGAAUAAUAAGAAAUGGUAGAGAAACUUAACCGGAGGUGGUAUUAGCUGCUUGCAAAAUAAAAUAGGUAGUAUGAAAGCAUGUGUUUUUUUCUGGCCAUAUACACGCCGCCUUUCAUUAAAUAAUGGCUACAUACAAAAGGUAUAUGUAUAAAUAGAUGAGAAAGAGAAGAUGGUUAGAGCAGAAGCAAAACUUGGCUCCUGUAUUACAGUAUUUUAAAUGAUUAUGGAUGGCAAAGACUCAAGCCAUAUGCACAAAAAUGUACUUGAAUUUGGACACUUGAACCCAGGAAGUGCCUAAAAAUAAUGAAGACUCACAGGGAAAGCAGAUGAGUAGCAAAACAUUUACGAGUGUCUGAACUGGACUGGAUGUUUUCUAAAACUAUGGUGCUAUCAGACCGAACAUUGUUUUUUCUGAAUUUUAAUCCCAUUGUCUCUGGUCAUAUCUACACACUCAUCGUAAGUGGAGAAUAUGUACACUUGUAGAUUUAGAUUCACUAAAAGUUUGUUUCCCCUCAGUCAUACUGACAUGGUCUGUUUCUUUCAGCGAGAUUGACUUUACCAUGACCACUUAUCAGGGUAAUAUUCUAAAUUAGUAAGGUCAGCAGAAUUUGGCCACUAUCUGUGGAAUUUCCCAAAAGAUUUAAUAACAGAAUAUUGGUUUUAGUCUAUUCUCUUUAAAUCUCUCAAUACACAUUAUUACAUUAAGGAGAAUCUGAGGAAUCUCUUGGUCAAUUAUAAUAAACCUACAGGGCAACAUAUAAAUGUGUACGCGCAAGUGCUGUAUUAUAACUUAGCAUUAACUGAAUAAUUAUUAUAAAUGUCAGCAUGGAUUAAUGUACGCAUACUCUUAUGAGCUUCACAGAUUGGAAUUAAUACAAGGGCUUACAUUGAAAAAUUUAAUCAGAGUAUAGGUGUGGAACAACUUUUGCUAUGAAAAUGUGGUAUAUAGUUACUUGUCUGCCUAAUCCAUUUUGUUAAAAAAGAUUAUUUGGUUUUGUUUAAGCUACUUAUCUCUGAUUUAUUUUCCAAGAAGCCUUUGAAAAUGAAGUCUUGCUCUUUAUUUUUCUUCUAAAUGCCUGCUGUCUCUAGUGUUUAUGGAAAGCUUACCAUGUCUUAAGACAAUACAAGGUCUUCCUGUCUGAUCACUCGUGGAUUAUUUUAUACAAUUAGAAGUGGUAUUUCAAAGUAUAGAUCUUGAAGGAAGGUCAUUUACUGAGCUGUUAAUGUAUAUGAUAUAAUACGCUUGGGUGGUUGCCAUUGCCAUGCAGUGGUGGAAGUAUGCAAUACGAUACUUCCAGGUACUAAAGAGAACAACUAUGGUUGUGUGAUAAUGUUGCAGAGACCUGCUAAUCUUCCCCCAUUUGAAAUUGUUCUAGUUGGAGCAUGCUGGUGAUAUGGCACUGUAAUACUCGGUUCUCUUAGCAUCAGCUACAAACUUAAUACACGUGUUGUGUGAGCUGUCAGUGUGCUCCCACAGUUUAUAAUGUGACCCUUGUAUCCCCGGUCAGCUUUUAUGUAGUACGGUCCUGGUACUGAUCUGAAUGACACCGAAGUGGGAUGGUUAAGUCUGACCAAGGUCAGGCUGCUGUUCCCCGCUGUCCUUAAAAAGUUAAAUAACAUAGUCUACAAUUACUUCCGGGAUCUUUGGUGUUUUCAGUCUGUGUACAGAAGAUUCUGAAGAAGUAUAGUGGAACACUGUCGGUUUUUUUUCUUGUAGUCUCAUUUCCUGUUCUCAACAGCUGAAAUGUCUUGUAGUCGAUGAAUGCACUAGGGGAGAAGUAAGGAGAUGCUUAAUAUUUUAUACUUAAAGCAGAUAAGAUGAAUACAAAUUCUCUUUGCUUUCCAUUUUCAGUUUAUGCAAGCCAAUACGCAACAUACCCUUAUCACAUAUAUUAUGAUUUCGUAUUCUGAGACAAAUGGAAAAUAAAUAUAAUUCCAUAUCCAGUGGAUAUAUAAUGAAUAUAUAAUGAAUUCAAGCGACACUUCACAUGGGAGAGUUUUAACCAUUUGCAUGCGGUGAGAAAGAGCACCAGUGAAGAUACUUUGAACAGAUAGUCUUGGGGGUUUUAGUACAGGUCUAAAAAGUAAUAUUCUUCUGCCUAAGGCCAGAUAUUAGCAUUGCAUUCAUACCUAGUUGUGUUUGCUCAUUGCUGUACCUUUGAGGAUUAAUGCUCAAAUGCUGUUAUCGGUGAUUGUGUUAGUCUCAGUAUGAACUAUUAUUUUUAUGUCACAUAACACCUUACAGAUUUUAACUAAUCAGAUGGAAUAUGGAAGUAUUUCUGCCUUUUGUAUUCAAGGGAGCUGCUGUCAACUUGUGUUAUCUUUGACACAGCAUGUGGGAAGCCUGAAUGAUGACUUCAUUCCAUCUACGUCCAAAUUUUCAUGUAGUAAAAUCAAGGUACCACAACUGAUAGAUAUUCAAUUCAGAAUAUUAAGUAACUAGUUUUUUUGAACACGCAGUAACAUAAUCUUGAUGCAGUGAUUCCUGGAAACCAAUAAAUAUCAUAUUAUGUGGAAAUGUGCAAUGAAAGGUUGAUUUUUAUAAUGCAUUAUAAAAUGUUGAGUCUGAAUAAAACAGUGUAUUUGCAAAACUAAUUUACUUAGUAUGAAGUGUACAUUUAUAACAUAGUAUAAUGAAAAGGUAAUGUUAACUAUUAAUGUAAGUAGAUUCUACGUACCUUGAUUAAGAAGUACAUUUUACUUAUUUGUGCAGUGAAUAUGAUUUUUGCAGUUUGUGACGGUGGUUGUACAGGUGGCACUGUGGACUGGAAUUCAGUAAUAGACAUUUUUUGAAAGCAGUUGUGAAUUAGACAUUUUUUUCCAUAGUUGCAUUUUUGUUAGAAGUUGAACUGGAAUAUGAAGAUAUGUAUAAUGUACAUUGCACUGAAUGAUUUGGAAUUAUAUUCAUUUGCUUUUUUGUUGUUUUUGCUUUCUUUUUUUAAUUGGUUCUGCCAGUGAGCUGUAACAUAUGCCUCUCAAGCUGCUGAUUUGGUAACAUGGAUCCCAGGGCAUUAAAGUAUAAUAGAAACUUGGAAGAAGAAGCAUAAGGAAGAAAAACAUAGCUAGACAGAACCUCAGAAACUGGGAUCUGACAGGAUGGGAGCAGAAACAAUGAAUCCAACACAAUCUGACCAGAACUGGAUGAAAGUCCUCAGAGUGACAAAAAUGGGCACUGGGAAAGGCAGCUGCUGAUAAGAAGAUUUCAGUGUAAGAGAAGGCAGAAAGUGGAGGUCUGCUCUUGCCCAAAGAACUGAUCCUGUUUAACCAGCCCUGACCCUGUUCCGAAUGUGCUGUAGACCAGUAAGAGCGGAUCGCCCCACACUGAUGGGUGUGAUCGGAGUGGGAAGGGCGAGGAAAUGGCUCCGAGAUACUUAGUAACAACAACUGGAUCGCCCCUUUCUCCCCAACAGGCAAGGAGAGUGAGUGGUCCUUGGGCUAGCUAAGAGAUCAGUGUUGGAAUUCAUAAAGAUGGAUUUGUCUAGCCUGGGUGACAGGCAGGUGUUUGUCAGCGUGGGACUGCACAUGAAAGAUGGUCAAAUUAGCUGAUUUGCUUUCUGGAGAUCAUUCAGUGCUAUGACCAGGCCUCACCCUGCGCGUUUUGGGGAUCUCCAAUGCAGUCUGCCCAAGGAACUACCUUGCAGGGCAGAGAAGCUAUUUAAAAACUAAAAGGGAUUGAAUCUACAGAGGACACUCGGAAGUCUGAAACUUGUGGAGCAUUAUGUCAAAACAGAUGGGAUUGCACAGAGGGACAAUACCAGGUGUAAAUGG